rnacentral:rRNA from 1 species
GACGAACGCUGGCGGCGUGCUUAACACAUGCAAGUCGAACGGAAAGGCCCUGCUUUUGUGGGGUGCUCGAGUGGCGAACGGGUGAGUAACACGUGAGUAACCUGCCCUUGACUUUGGGAUAACUUCAGGAAACUGGGGCUAAUACCGGAUAGGAGCUCCUGCUGCAUGGUGGGGGUUGGAAAGUUUCGGCGGUUGGGGAUGGACUCGCGGCUUAUCAGCUUGUUGGUGGGGUAGUGGCUUACCAAGGCUUUGACGGGUAGCCGGCCUGAGAGGGUGACCGGACACAUUGGGACUGAGAUGCGGCCCAGACUCCUACGGGAGGCAGCAGUGGAGAAUAUUGCACAAUGGGCGGAAGCCUGAUGCAGCAACGCCGCGUGCGGGAUAACGGGCUUCGGGUUGUAAACCGCUUUCGCCUGUGACGAAGCGUGAGUGACGGUAAUGGGUAAAGAAGCACCGGCUAACUACGUG